rnacentral:rRNA from 1 species
CCUACGGGAGGCAGCAGUGAGGAAUAUUGGUCAAUGGACGAGAGUCUGAACCAGCCAAGUAGCGUGAAGGAUGACUGCCCUAUGGGUUGUAAACUUCUUUUAUAUGGGAAUAAAACAGGGUAUGCAUACCCUCUUGUAUGUACCAUAUGAAUAAGGAUCGGCUAACUCCGUGCCAGCAGCCGCGGUAAUACGGAGGAUCCGAGCGUUAUCCGGAUUUAUUGGGUUUAAAGGGAGCGUAGGUGGGUUGUUAAGUCAGUUGUGAAAGUUUGCGGCUCAACCGUAAAAUUGCAGUUGAAACUGGCAGUCGUGAGUACAGUAGAGGUGGGCGGAAUUCGUGGUGUAGCGGUGAAAUGCUUAGAUAUCACGAAGAACUCCGAUUGCGAAGGCAGCUCACUGGACUGCAACGGACACUGAUGCUCGAAAGUGUGGGUAUCAAACAGGAUUAGAUACCCUGGUAGUC